rnacentral:rRNA from 1 species
UACAGAGGUCCCAAGCGUUGUUCGGAUUCACUGGGCGUAAAGGGUGCGUAGGUGGUUAGGUAAGUCCGAUGUGAAAUCUCCAGGCUCAACCUGGAAAUGGCAUUGGAUACUAUUUAGCUUGAGGAGUGGAGGGGAGACUGGAAUACUUGGUGUAGCAGUGAAAUGCGUAGAUAUCAAGAGGAACACCAGUGGCGAAGGCGAGUCCCUGGACAACACCUGACACUGAGGCACGAAAGCUAGGGGAGCAAACAGG